rnacentral:lncRNA from 1 species
AUAUAUUAAAUAUAUAUAAUAUAAAUAUAAUAGGAUAUACUUCAGGGAGAGAUUUUGGCAACCUUCCUCCUUAUUUCCCCUUCCCCAGUGAAAAGGAGCUACUAAUCUAAUAGUGAAAAUUCAAGAUGUUAAUUGGCCCAUGUUCUUGGCAGCCAGGGUCACCAAUGGAUUCUGUUCUGCCUCCUCCACACACAUAGCUUGAUGGAUUAGUUGAGCCAGAACCAGCUCUGCAGAUCUGCUCAUUUCAUUUAUCCUGUCUCCUUGAUUUUCUCCAUGUAGCCUGAUAGAGGUUAGGAUCCUGUGAUUUUAAUGAGCAAGGAAUUGGUGGCUCUUUGAGGCCAGAAAUCUAAACCUCAACCUCAUUCUCAGCCUAUGGAUUACCUUCCAUGUGAAAGAGAGUAUUGUCAUAAACACUGAGUAUACAGUGGUGACCAAAGCAGACUCAGUUUCUGUUUUCAGGGAACAGUCUGGUAGAAAACAGUAAGCAACUAAGCAAAUCAUGUAGGAAAAGGCAAGGAUACUGUGACAGAGAAUAGUUAGGAAGCCAGCCAUGUGGUGAGUACAGUUGACCCUUGAACAACACAGGUUUGGACUAUGGGGUCUACUCAUAAUAAUACAUGAAUUUUCUCUGUUUCUGCCACCCCUGAGACAGCAAGACCAACCAGACACUCCUUUUCCUCCUUGUCCUCAGCCUACUCAACGUGAAGACAAUGAGAAGCCCUUUGUGAUGAUCCACGUCCACCUAAUGAAUAUCCAGUGCAGAGGUCUCUGGUCCCUCUCCUUCAAGAGGAGAAUGAGAGAUUUUGGCUGUCUCCAUCUUGUGGCACCGCCAUCUUCUGGGGCCUUCUUGGAGUCUUUGCUGGAUCCUCUGCCUUCAGCCAGCCAGUCAGUUGAGAGACAGAACACCACAAAGUGGGCCAAGAUUCAGCUGUAUCUGUUAUCUCUUCCCAUAUUGUAUUGGUCAGACCAAGUCAUCUGACUCCAACCUAACUCUGGGAAACUGAGAAAUGGCUUCUGUGUGCUCAGGAAGAAGAAACAGAUGGGAUUGGUGAGCAUCUAGCCAAUUUCCACCACAAAUGCUCAUUUUGGCUGCCUCCAGGCCAAAGGUAAUAACUUGUUGAGGAAAAGGAGUGGGAGG